GAUUAAUGUUCGUUGCAGCCGAUCUUGUUGAUGGGAUCUCAAUCGUCUCGCACCUCUUGGCAGUCUGACUGAUAUUUUCACCCCCUCGGUGCUAGAGGUUGAAGA